rnacentral:rRNA from 1 species
GCCCGGCUGCUACCUGCAAGUCGAACGGUGAAGCCAAGCUUGCUUGGUGGAUCAGUGGCGAACGGGUGAGUAACACGUGAGCAACCUGCCCUGAACUCUGGGAUAAGCGCUGGAAACGGCGUCUAAUACUGGAUAUGAGCUGCGGAGGCAUCUUCGUGGUUGGAAAGAUUUUUCGGUUUGGGAUGGGCUCGCGGCCUAUCAGCUUGUUGGUGAGGUAAUGGCUCACCAAGGCGUCGACGGGUAGCCGGCCUGAGAGGGUGACCGGCCACACUGGGACUGAGACACGGCCCAGACUCCUACGGGAGGCAGCAGUGGGGAAUAUUGCACAAUGGGCGGAAGCCUGAUGCAGCAACGCCGCGUGAGGGAUGACGGCCUUCGGGUUGUAAACCUCUUUUAGCAGGGAAGAAGCGAAAGUGACGGUACCUGCAGAAAAAGCGCCGGCUAACUACGUGCCAGCAGCCGCGGUAAUACGUAGGGCGCAAGCGUUAUCCGGAAUUAUUGGGCGUAAAGAGCUCGUAGGCGGUUUGUCGCGUCUGCUGUGAAAACCCGAGGCUCAACCUCGGGCCUGCAGUGGGUACGGGCAGACUAGAGUGCGGUAGGGGAGAUUGGAAUUCCUGGUGUAGCGGUGGAAUGCGCAGAUAUCAGGAGGAACACCGAUGGCGAAGGCAGAUCUCUGGGCCGUAACUGACGCUGAGGAGCGAAAGGGUGGGGAGCAAACAGGCUUAGAUACCCUGGUAGUCCACCCCGUAAACGUUGGGAACUAGUUGUGGGGUCCAUUCCACGGAUUCCGUGACGCAGCUAACGCAUUAAGUUCCCCGCCUGGGGAGUACGGCCGCAAGGCUAAAACUCAAAGGAAUUGACGGGGACCCGCACAAGCGGCGGAGCAUGCGGAUUAAUUCGAUGCAACGCGAAGAACCUUACCAAGGCUUGACAUACACGAGAACGCUGCAGAAAUGUAGAACUCUUUGGACACUCGUGAACAGGUGGUGCAUGGUUGUCGUCAGCUCGUGUCGUGAGAUGUUGGGUUAAGUCCCGCAACGAGCGCAACCCUCGUUCUAUGUUGCCAGCACGUAAUGGUGGGAACUCAUGGGAUACUGCCGGGGUCAACUCGGAGGAAGGUGGGGAUGACGUCAAAUCAUCAUGCCCCUUAUGUCUUGGGCUUCACGCAUGCUACAAUGGCCGGUACAAAGGGCUGCAAUACCGCGAGGUGGAGCGAAUCCCAAAAAGCCGGUCCCAGUUCGGAUUGAGGUCUGCAACUCGACCUCAUGAAGUCGGAGUCGCUAGUAAUCGCAGAUCAGCAACGCUGCGGUGAAUACGUUCCCGGGUCUUGUACACACCGCCCGUCAAGUCAUGAAAGUCGGUAACACCUGAAGCCGGUGGCCCAACCCUUGUGGAGGAGCCGUCGAAGGGUAUUUCCGU